AGGGGAGGAAGGAAGGUGCUGGAAAGUGUUAUGAGGGGGAGUGCUGCCAGCCUCAACAGCACUAAAGGGUGUGGCUGCUGAGAAGGGGAGGAAGGAAGGUGCUGGGAGGUGUUAUGAGGGGGAGUGCUGCCAGCCUCAACAGCACUAAAGGGUGUGGCUGCUGAGAAGGGAAGGAAGGAAGGUGCUGGGAGGUGUUAUGAGGGGGAGUGCUGCCAGCCUCAACAGCACUAAAGGGUGUGGCUGCUGAGAAGGGAAGGAAGGAAGGUGCUGGGAGGUGUUAUGAGGGGGAGUGCUGCCAGCCUCAACAGCACUAAAGGGUGUGGCUGCUGAGAAGGGAAGGAAGGAAGGUGCUGGGAGGUGUUAUGAGGAGUGCUAACAUAAGAAGAACAUAAGAACACAGGGAGACUGCAAGAGGCCGAGUGGCCUACACAGGGCAGCUCCAGAAUCCCCCCACUACUCACGAUGGGUGAGGAGGUGUAGUUUCAGGAGUUACAGGUAGAGGCUUGAUCCUCGUCUACCUUCGGUACGGGCGUACGCUCCAGUACCCUGUCACCUUACUGCACCCACACCUCACUGCCACCUGUCAUCCUCGUCCA